rnacentral:rRNA from 1 species
CGGAUCGGAGUCUGCAACCCGACUCCGUGAAGCUGGAUUCGCUAGUAAUCGCGCAUCAGCCAUGGCGCGGUGAAUACGUUCCCGGGCCUUGUACACACCGCCCGUCAAGCCAUGGGAGCCGGGGGUGCUUGAAGUGCGUCGCCGCAAGGCGCGCCCUAGAGCAAAACCGGUGACUGGGGCUAAGUCGUAACAAGGUAGC